rnacentral:rRNA from 1 species
UUAAAAUGUAUUUUAAAAAUCUAAGGUAGUAAUAGUUAUGUUCUAGAAAUUUAAAAAAUUUGGCGGUAUUUUAGUCUAUUCAGAGGAAUCUGUUUUAUAAUCGAUAAUCCACGAUGGACCUUACUUAAAUUUGUUUUCAGUUUAUAUACCGUCGUUAUUAGAAUAUUUUAUAAGAAAGUUAAUUUUCUAAAUUUUAAAAAAGAAAUUAUAUCAGAUCAAGGUGUAGCUUAUAUUUAAGAAUAAAUGGAUUACAAUAAAAAUAUUUAAAUGGAUAUAAAUUUGAAAUAUUUAUUGAAAGUGGAUUUGAUAGUAAAUUUAUAAAGAUUAAUAAUUUGAUUUUAGCUCUAAAAUAUGU